rnacentral:rRNA from 1 species
AUUGAACGCUGGCGGCAGGCCUAACACAUGCAAGUCGAACGAGUGGCGGACGGGUGAGUAAUGUCUGGGAAACUGCCUGAUGGAGGGGGAUAAAUACUGGAAACGGUAGCUAAUACCGCAUACCAUCGGAUGUGCCCAGAUGGGAUUAGCUAGUAGGUGGGGUAAAGGCUAACCUAGGCGACGAUCCCUAGCUGGUCUGAGAGGAUGACCAGCCACACUGGAACUGAGCCACGGUCCAGACUUCUACGGGAGGCAGCAGUGGGAAAUAAUGCACAAUGGGAGCAAGCCUAAUGCAGCCAUGCCGCGUGUAUGAAGAAGGCCUUCGGGUUGUAACGUACGUUCAGCGGGGAGGCGUUACCCGCAGAAGAAGCACCGGCUAACUCCGUGCCAGCAACCGCGGUAAUUC